GGCUACACACGUGCUACAAUGGGUAGAACAGAGAGUUGCAAAGCCGUGAGGUGAAGCUAAUCUCAGAAAACUAUUCUUAGUUCGGAUUGUACUCUGCAACUCGAGUACAUGAAGUUGGAAUCGCUAGUAAUCGCGAAUCAGCAAUGUCGCGGUGAAUACGUUCUCGGGCCUUGUACACACCGCCCGUCACACCACGAGAGUUGGUUGCACCUGAAGUAGCAGGCCUAACCGUAAGGAAGGAUGCUCCGAGGGUGUGAUUAGCGAUUGGGGUGAAGUCGUAACAAGGUAUCCGUACGGGAACGU
rnacentral:rRNA from 1 species